rnacentral:rRNA from 1 species
UACAGAGGGUGCGAGCGUUGUUCGGAAUUAUUGGGCGUAAAGCGCAUGUAGGCGGGUUGUUAAGUCGCGUGUGAAAGCCCCCAGGCUCAACCUGGGAAGUGCGCGCGAAACUGGCGACCUUGAGUGCUGGAGAGGGUGGCGGAAUUCCCGGUGUAGAGGUGAAAUUCGUAGAGAUCGGGAGGAACACCCGUGGCGAAGGCGGCCAACUGGGCCGGACCUGACGCUGAGGCGCGAAGGCGUGGGGAGCGAACGGG